AAAACAUGUCCUUUAGAAUUUAAUUUAAGGUCUGACCUGCCCACUGAAUUAAAUGGCCGCAGUAUUUUAACUGUGCAAAGGUAGCAUAAUCAUUAGUCUUUUAAUUGAAGGCUUGUAUGAAUGGUUGGACGAAAUAUUAACUGUUUCAUAAAAAUUGAUUUAGAAUUUUAUUUUUUAGUUAAAAAGCUAAAAUUUUUUUAAAAGACGAGAAGACCCUAUAGAUCUUUAUAGUUUAUUUGUUACAGUUAUUUAGAUAAUUUAAAUUGUAAUUAUAUAAAUUAUUUUGUUGGGGUGACAUUAAAAUUUAGUUAACUUUUAAUGUAUUAUUACAUUAAUUUAUGAUUAAUUGAUCCAUUAUUAAUGAUUAUAAAAUUAAGUUACCUUAGGGAUAACAGCGUAAUUUUUUUGAAGAGUUCAUAUCGAUAAAAAAGAUUGCGACCUCGAUGUUGGAUUAAGAUAUAAUUUUGGGUGCAGCAAUUCAAUUAUUAAGUCUGUUCGACUUUUAAUUUCUUACAUGA
rnacentral:rRNA from 1 species